CGUAUAUUAAAGUUGUUGCAGUUAAAAAGCUCGUAGUUGGAUUUCUGGAUCGAGCUCUCUGUCCGCCGCUGUGCGGUGCGUACUUGAGUAGUCUCGUUUCAUCCUUGCAGGGAAGCGUGUUCGACAUUAAUUUGUCGACACGGGGAACUGCAUCUUUUACUGUGAAAAAAUUAGAGUGUUUAAAGCAGGCAUUUUGCUGUGAAUACAUUAGCAUGGAAUAAUAACAUAGGACCCUGGUUCUAUUUUGUUGGUUGGAGGCCAAGGUAAUGAUUAAUAGGGACAGUUGGGGGUAUUCAUAUUUAAUUGUCAGAGGUGAAAUUCUUGGAUUUAUGAAAGAUGAACUCAUGCGAAAGCAUUUACCAAGGAUGUUUUCAUUAAUCAAGAACGAAAGUUAGGGGAUCGAAGAGGAUUAGAUACCCUCGUAGUCUUAACCAUAAACUAUGCCGACUAGGGAUUGGCGGACGUACUUUUUAUGGCUCCGUCAGCACCUUACGAGAAAUCAAAGUCUUUGGGUUCCGGGGGGAGUAUGGUCGCAAGGCUGAAACU
rnacentral:rRNA from 2 species